CGCACAACACAAGUCGUCGUCAUCUCUCUCUCCCUUUUGCUCUUCACAUUCCCUCUCUCUCUCUCUCGCCGGAGUUAGUUAGAUUAUUUUUAUUUCUCGAGGAUCUUCGUUUUCCUUUGGAUCAAAACACCAGCAGAGAGAUGAUGGCGCCGAGAAACUCCGUAGGCGGAUUGGCGUUAUUAAGUUUUGUAUUCGCCGUGAUAUUGUCUGUCGCCGGGGCGCAAUCCCUAGCUCCAGCUCCUGCUCCCUCCAGCGAUGGAACAUCGAUAGAUCAAGGGAUAGCGUAUUUGCUAAUGGUGGUGGCGUUGGUGCUGACUUAUCUAAUUCAUCCUCUUUGAUGCUUCUUCUUCCUUGUUCUAAUCUCUCUCUCUCUCUCUCUCUCUCUCUCUCUCUCUCUUUCCAUUUCCAAGUUUUUUUUUUUUUUGUGGAUAAAAAUCCUAAAGAGUCUGUGGGUUGAUUUUGUGCUAUUUUUGUCUCGAUUAUGAUGAUUUCUUUCUGGAGAUUUACUGAUCAUUGUCUCUUCUCUUCUUCCU